UAAGGGUUGUCUUUCCCUUUUUAUUUCCUCUAAUAUCCUGAUGUCUUCAAGAUGUUAAUCAUAAUAACUUGUCUUAUUAAAGUUACUGAAAAUACAAUAAAGGAAAAAAAGAGGGACCUGAUACAGCAGGAAUUACCAGAAGUUUGAAAAGCCUGCCUGUUUUCCCUUUGAAAUCUUGCAGGCACAUAGAGUGCUCAAACCUGUUCCCACAGCAGAGUUGUCAUUCCCCAUCCAGCAGUGGCUAACUUUAUGAUACUCCAGGUAUGGCCCAGAGAUUUUUAUGAGUUUCACAAAAUGUCUUUCAGAACCUGGAGACAAAACUUAUAAAGAACAGAAUAGCCCUUGUAGACAGUUUGGCAGACAGCAGCCACCCCAGACAACCACACGACUGUUUACAGUAAAUGGUAUCGCCUGUUAAUCACGUAUGCGCUUGUGUCAAGGCUGGAGACAGCAGCAUCCUGAGUGCAGAACCUUCUGACUGCAUCAGCUUUGUGGCUUGCUUCUCCCUACUAAUAACCACCUGUUUAAAUACUGUAUUCAAAUGCACUGAAAGGCACUACCUACCUCAGGCAAAGCUAUGUUUGAAAACACCGCCACUUUUCUCAAAAACUAGGCGUGCCCUUGAUCCUCCAUAUGAAAUUAUCCUUUAAAAGGUAGUUGAAAAUGUUUAUUUGUAUUUGUAUUUGGGAAAAAUCCAUAAGGAGUCUAAAAAGCACAUUUGGAUUUUAUCUAGAAAUCGAACUAGUUGUCACUUCCAGGCAUUUUUUCCAGGGUGACAGCUACAGCUCAUCCUGCCCUUACUGCAGUGUUGAAUUCAGUAGUCCUGCUUGUGUGGUCCGGUUGACCAAGCUCAGCACAAUUACAGAACCUGGAACUCAGCUCUGUGUUUGUGCAGCUUCUCAAGUGCUGUUCUCUGCUAUCCAGCUGUAACACAAAUCUUCCUCUUCCCAAAUACUUUCAGAGCACUUUGUAUUGUGGAUACACAAGCCAAGUUUCAGCUCUCAAACUAGAGACGUGCCAAACAUAAUUUAAGUGUGAUCGGUGAUUUCAGCAAACAGAGUCCAUGUAGCGACAGUGAUGUCACCCUGAGAAAUUCUUAUUAGAAUUUAGAAAAUCAGCAGCGCUUCAGUCAAAACACUUCAGUCAAAACGAAAAUUGAAGUUUUACUUUGCUCACUACAGCAAGAAAGGGUUAGAAAAGCCCCAAGGAAAAUGCAUGUUUAUUCAUAAAUCUAAAUUAUAUGAACUGAAACAAUUAAAUGGUAGUUUAGAAGCACUAACUUCAAGCCAAAGUGCUACAAUGGUGUUGCAGUGCAGAUUCAUUAGUUGGCACUAGGCUUUGAAUAAUUGUGUUGAGGGGCCAGCCUUCGUCAAUUAAAAAUGAUGUAUGUCCCUUUGUCUGAAUUACCGCUUGUUUUAGGCACAAUCCAUCCAUCCAGAGGGAAACUUAUCCAUCUAGCUUUUGACAAGAGUCUGUAAUCUGAUUGUUCAGCUUCAGACAGGAAUGUUCAAUAAUUAAAUAAUAAUUAAAUGUGUAUUGAUUGGUAUAACCUUGGCUACAUUUGUUGACCUCUGCUGUGCUGUGGUUAAAGGUGGGAAUGCCUUCUUAUUCUUUUGGACAUCUUUCACUCCCUGGGAGAGUGCUCUAAUAUCCUCUGCUACCUACUGCUGUCUUGAUAAUUGACAUGGGUAAGGCUGCAAUUAAUGCUGAGUUUUUUCAGCAGAUAUUGGGAAGUUGGGAUUAAAGUUUCUAUCCAAACAUUGCUGUCUUUCUACAUGUCUAUGUGGAGGGAAGGGCAGAUAGUCUUACAGGUCUGGGUGUCACAGAACAAGCGGUGACACAAAAACGA